AUUGAACGCUGGCGGCAGGCUUAACACAUGCAAGUCGAACGAGUGGCGGACGGGUGAGUAAUGCUUGGGAAUCUGGCUGAUGGAGGGGUAAAACUACGGGAAACUGUAGCUAAUACCGAAUACCAUAGGAUGAGCACAAGUGGGAUUAGGUAGUUGGUGAGGGAAAGGCUCACCAAGCCGACGAUCCCUCGCUGGUCUGAGAGGAUGACCAGCAACACGGGGAUUGCGCACAGGCCCAGACUCCUCCUGGAGGCAGCAGUGGGGAAUAUUGCUCAAUGGGGGCAACCUGACGCAGCCAUGCCGCGUGAAUGAAGAAGGCCUUCGGGUUGGAAAGUUUUUUCGGUAGCAAGGCGUUAACUACAGAAGAAGCACCGGCUAACUCCGUGCCAGCAGCCGCGGUAAUUC
rnacentral:rRNA from 1 species